AUGCUCAAAAUUCUCCAAGCCAGUCUUCAGCAAUACGUGAACAGUGAACUUCCUGAUGUUCAAGCUGCUUUUAGAAAAGGCAGAGGAACCGGAGAUCAAAUUGGCAACAUCUGCCAAAUCAUCAAAAAAGCAAGAGAGUUCCAGAAAAACAUCUAUUUCUGCUUUAUUGACUAUGCCAAAGCAUUUGACUGUGUGGAUCACAAGAAACUGUGGAAAAUUCUUCAAGAGAUGGGAAUACCAGACCACAUGACCUACCUCUUGAGAAAUCUGUAUGCAGAUCAGGAAGCAACAGUUGGAACCGGACAUGGAACAACAGACUGGUUCCAAAUAGGAAAAGGAGUAUAUCAAGGCUGUAUGUUGUCACCCUGCUUAUUUAACUUCUAUGCAGAGUACAUCUUGAGAAACGCUGGGCUGGAAGAAACACGAGCUGGAAUCAGGAUUGCCGGGAAAAAUAUCAGUAACCUCAGAUAUGCAGAUGACACCACCCUUAUGGCAGAAAGUGAAGAGGAAUUAAAAAGCCUCUUGAUGAAAGUGAAAGAGGAGAGUGAAAAAGUUGGCCUAAAGCUCGACAUUCAGAAAACGAAGAUCAUGGCAUCCGGUCCCAUCACUUCAUGGGAAAUAGAUGGGGAAACAGUGGAAACAGUGUCAGACUUUAUUUUGGGGAGCUCCAAAAUCACUGCAGAUGGUGACUGCAGCCAUGAAAUUAAAAGAUGCUUACUCCUUGGAAGAAAAGUUAUGGCCAACCUGGACAGCAUAUUCAAAAGCAGAGACAUUACUUUGCCAACAAAGGUCCAUCUAGCCAAGGCUAUGGUUUUUCCAGUAGUCAUGUAUGGAUAUGAGAGUUGGACUGUGAAGAAACCUGAGUGCCGAAGAAUUGAUGCUUUUGAACUGUGGUGUUGGAGAAGACUCUUGAGAGUCCCUUGGACUGCAAGGAGAUCCAACCAGUCCAUUCUGAAGGAGAUCAGCCCUGGGAUUUCUUUGGAAGGAAUGAUGCUAAAGCUGAAACUCCAGUACUUUGGCCACCUCAUGCGAAGAGUUGACUCAUUGGAAAGGACUCUGAUGCUGGGAAGGAUUGGGGGCAGGAGGAGAAGGGGACGACAGAGAAUGAGAUGGCUGGAUUUCAUCACCAACUCAAUGGAUGUGAGUCUGAGUGACUCCAGGUGUUGA
rnacentral:lncRNA from 1 species